rnacentral:rRNA from 1 species
AGAGUUGUAUCUUUGCUCAGGACGAACGCUGGCGGCGUGCCUAACACAUGCUUUUCGAACGAAGCUGCAGGGAAUGAGACUCCGGUCAAAGGAACUGUAGACUUAGUGGCGGACGGGUGAGUAACGCGUGAGCAACCUGCCUUUCAGAGGGGGAUAACAGUUGGAAACGACUGCUAAUACCGCAUAACAUAUAUUUAAGGCAUCUUAGAUAUAUCAAAGCUGAGGCGCUGAGAGAUGGGCUCGCGUCCGAUUAUAUAGUUGGUGAGGUAACGGCUCACCAAGUCGACGAUCGGUAGCCGGACUGAGAGGUUGAACGGCCACAUUGGGACUGAGACACGGCCCAGACUCCUACGGGAGGCAGCAGUGGGGGAUAUUGCACAAUGGGGGAAACCCUGAUGCAGCAACGCCGCGUGAGGGAAGACGGUCUUCGGAUUGUAAACCUUUGUCUUUGGUGAAGAAGAAAGUGACGGUAGCCAAGGAGGAAGCCACGGCUAACUACGUGCCAGCAGCCGCGGUAAUACGUAGGUGGCAAGCGUUGUCCGGAAUUACUGGGUGUAAAGGGAGCGCAGGCGGGAAUGCAAGUUGGAUGUGAAAUACCGCAGCUUAACUGCGGAGCUGCAUCCAAAACUGUGUUUCUUGAGUGAAGUAGAGGUAGGCGGAAUUCCGAGUGUAGCGGUGAAAUGCGUAGAUAUUCGGAGGAACACCGGUGGCGAAGGCGGCCUACUGGGCUUUUACUGACGCUGAGGCUCGAAAGUGUGGGGAGCAAACAGAAUUAGAUACCCUGGUAGUCCACACUGUAAACGAUGAAUACUAGGGUGUGGGGGGACUGACCCCUUCCGUUCCCGCAGUUAACACAAUAAGUAUUCCACCGGGGGAGUACGACCGCAAAGUUUGAAAUUCAAAGGAAUUGACGGGGGCCCGCACAAAGCAGGGGAUUAUGUGGUUUAAUUGGACGCAACGCGAAGACCCUUACCAGGGUUUGACAUCCAACUAAACGAAGCAGAGAUGCAUUAGGUGCCUUUCGGGGAAAGUUGAGACAGGUGGUGCAUGGUUGUCGUCAGCUCGUGUCGUGAGAUGUUGGGUUAAGUCCCGCAACGAGCGCAACCCCUAUUGUUAGUUGCUACGAAAGAGCACUCUAGCGAGACUGCCGUUGACAAAACGGAGGAAGGCGGGGACGACGUCAAAUCAUCAUGCCCCUUAUGUCCUGGGCUACACACGUAAUACAAUGGUGGCCAACAGAGGGAAGCAAAGCCGCGAGGCAGAGCAAAACCCUAAAAGCCAUCUCAGUUCGGAUUGCAGGCUGCAACUCGCCUGCAUGAAGCUGGAAAAACUAGUAAUCGCGGAUCAGAAAGCCGCGGUGAAUA